CGUUUCUGUAGCAGAGUGAAAGCUUCCUUCUACCGUUUAAGUACCUUGUUGAUAACUCAGCCAGAAGCACACCCACCAGUUGGAAUCCAGGACUUUGCAGCCAGAGCCCUCCAACCCAAACAGGAAAUAGAAGCUCAAGAAAGUUCCUCUCCUUGAGCCUCUGCUGGGCCAGAAGUACAGCCUGCACUUUAGGUUUUCACUGGCUUUCUGUGUUCCUUCUUCUGGCUGAAAUCUCCAAGAAGAGCUGGCUCUGGAGUUUCAGACCUCCUGGAAUCCUUCUCUUUCAAAGUGGAACAGCAGGCUCAGGAUCAGUCUUUUCAGGCAUGGUGAUGAACGGCAUGAUCCAACAGGAGCCUUCAGACCAGAACAAUACACCCUGUGGGAAUGAAGACGAAAAGACACACAAAGAGAAAGGUGCAGAAGAGGUGAAAGACUUAACCAUAUGCACCAAUGUCCAGCCAGCCCCCUUUGCUGAGAGGAAGAACGUAAAUGUAAGAAGACUGCAAAGAGUUUUGAAUUCAAAGAAAGAGUUGCCAGUCUGAAGAGACUGAGGAACAUUGGACUACAGGAUCAGAAUGCUGCCUUCUGGCCUUAAGAUCCAUGAAUUCUG
rnacentral:lncRNA from 1 species